GAUGAACGCUGGCGGCGUGCCUAAUACAUGCAAGUCGAGCGAACGGACGAGAAGCUUGCUUUUCUGAUGUUAGCGGCGGACGGGUGAGUAACACGUGGAUAACCUACCUAUAAGACUGGGAUAACUUCGGGAAACCGGAGCUAAUACCGGAUAAUAUUUUGAACCGCAUGGUUCAAAAGUGAAAGACGGUCUUGCUGUCACUUAUAGAUGGAUCCGCGCUGCAUUAGCUAGUUGGUAAGGUAACGGCUUACCAAGGCAACGAUGCAUAGCCGACCUGAGAGGGUGAUCGGCCACACUGGAACUGAGACACGGUCCAGACUCCUACGGGAGGCAGCAGUAGGGAAUCUUCCGCAAAGGGCGAAAGCCUGACGGAGCAACGCCGCGUGAGUGAUGAAGGUCUUCGGAUCGUAAAACUCUGUUAUUAGGGAAGAACAUAUGUGUAAGUAACUGCGCACAUCUUGACGGUACCUAAUCAGAAAGCCACGGCUAACUACGUG
rnacentral:rRNA from 1 species